AUGAGGUCUGACUUUGUUGCCCGGGCUGGUCUUAAACUCCUGGCUGAAUGUGAUCCUCCUGCCUUGGCCUCCCCAAGUGCUGGGAUUACAGGGGUGAGCCAUUGCAUCUGGUGUGAAGCUGGGAUUGCAGGUGUGAGACAUGGCAUCUGGUGUGAAUAUCUACUGGUCUCUCAUUCCAUGUAAGGAGAAACACCCACAGGUGUGGAGGGGCAACCCACCCCUUCAAUCAGGAACCUCAGAAUGUGACAUUUGUAAAUUGGGUGGUUGCAGAUGUAAUGAAUUAACUUGGCCACAUACUGGAGUAAGGUGGGCCCUUCACACCAUAUGACUGGUAUCCUUAUAAGAAGAAAAGAAGAGACACAGAGGGAAGACAGCCGUGUGCAUCUGGAAUGAUGCAUCUGAAGCCAAGGAAUGCCGCGCAUUGCCGGCCACCACCCAAAACUGGAAAAAGUCAGGAAGGAUUCUUCCCUAGAACCUUCAAAGGCAGCACAGCCCUGCCAACACCUGGAUUCAGACUCUGGCCUCCAGAACUGUGAGAGGAUGAAUUUCUGUUGUUUUCAGCCACCCAAGCUUAGGAAAUGGGUUGCAGCAGACUGGGAAUAAGACAGGCAGCCAGGCAGCCUCCGUGGAAUUCCCAGGCAGCUUGCAGGAGCCACAGUGGGCCCUGGGCUCUGAGAAGGUCUGAGGCCCAGCAGGUGCAGGGGCCUAAAUUAUUUCUCGGCAAGGAGGAAGGAGGCUCAUCCAGAACGUAGAUCCCCUUCCUCCUUCUCACACCUCACAAGGUCACAGCGAGGUGGCUGGGAGGAGAGCCAGUGACUUUUCACUGAGGUGUGUGGGAGACAGCUUGGCCACCCUUGGCCUCUGAAGGGAGGAGGUGGCCUGAAAGAGGGCGGCUUCGGAACUUCCCAGUUCCUGCUUGAUGGCCUGUGUGUAAAGUAUUCCUGUUUAGGUUUCAAAAUCCUCUGAGAAACAUAAUUCUCAGAAAAUCCAGGCACCCAAUCCAGCUCCCUGGCCUUCCCUGAAAUCUGAAGUCAAAGGGGCUGAGCCAGCCUGCCCUGGGUGUCAGGCCUCUGAGCCCAAGCUAAGCCAUCAUAUCACCUGUGACCUGCACGUACACAUCCAGGUGGCUGGUUCCUGCCUUAACUGAUGACAUUCCUCCACAAAAGAAAUGAAAAUGGCCUGUUCCUGCCUUAACUGAUGACAUUGUCUUGUGAAAUUCCUUCUCCUGGCUCAUCCUGGCUCAAAACCUCCCCCACUGAGUACCUUGUGACCCCCACUCUGCCCGCCAGAGAACAACGCCCCUUUGACUGUAAUUUUCCCUUACCUACCCAAAUCCUAUAAAACGGUCCCACCCCAUCUCCCUUCACUGACUCUCUUUCAGACUCAGCCCGCCUGCACCC
rnacentral:lncRNA from 1 species